rnacentral:misc_RNA from 1 species
GAUGAAGAACGCAGCGAAAUGCGAUAAGUAAUGUGAAUUGCAGAAUUCAGUGAAUCAUCGAAUCUUUGAACGCACAUUGCGCCCGCCAGUAUUCUGGCGGGCAUGCCUGUUCGAGCGUCAUUUCAACCAUCAAGUCCCCGGCUUGUGUUGGGGACCUGCGGCUGCCGCAGGCCCUGAAAACCAGUGGCGGGCUCGCUAGUCACUCCGAGCGUAGUAGUUACAUCUCGCUCAGGGCGUGCUGCGGGUUCCGGCCGUUAAAAGCCUUAUUUACCCAAGGUUGACCUCGGAUCAGGUAGGAAGACCCGCUGAACUUAAGCAUAUCAAUAAGCGGAGGA